UGGAUCCAGACUUUGAUUCUGGCUCAGGAUGAACGCUAGCUACAGGCUUAACACAUGCAAGUCGAGGGGAAACGAUAUUGGAAGCUUGCUUCCGAUAGGCGUCGACCGGCGCACGGGUGAGUAACGCGUAUCCAACCUGCCCAUCACUUGGGAAUAACCUUGCGAAAGUAAGACUAAUGCCCAAUGACAUUUAUAGAAGGCAUCUGAAAUGAAUUAAAGAUUUAUCGGUGAUGGAUGGGGAUGCGUCUGAUUAGCUUGUUGGCGGGGUAACGGCCCACCAAGGCGACGAUCAGUAGGGGUUCUGAGAGGAAGGUCCCCCACAUUGGAACUGAGACACGGUCCAAACUCCUACGGGAGGCAGCAGUGAGGAAUAUUGGUCAAUGGGCGAGAGCCUGAACCAGCCAAGUAGCGUGCAGGAUGACGGCCCUAUGGGUUGUAAACUGCUUUUAUAGGGGAAUAAAGUGAGCCACGUGUGGUUUUUUGCAUGUACCCUAUGAAUAAGGACCGGCUAAUUCCGUGCCAGCAGCCGCGGUAAUACGGAAGGUCCGGGCGUUAUCCGGAUUUAUUGGGUUUAAAGGGAGCGUAGGCCGGAGAUUAAGCGUGUUGUGAAAUGUAGAUGCUCAACAUCUGAACUGCAGCGCGAACUGGUUUCCUUGAGUACGCAUAAAGUGGGCGGAAUUCGUGGUGUAGCGGUGAAAUGCUUAGAUAUCACGAAGAACUCCGAUUGCGAAGGCAGCUCACUGGGGCGCAACUGACGCUGAAGCUCGAAAGCGCGGGUAUCGAACAGGAUUAGAUACCCUGGUAGUCCGCGCGGUAAACGAUGGAUGCCCGCUGUUGGGCCAACUGGUUCAGCGGCCAAGCGAAAGCAUUAAGCAUCUCACCUGGGGAGUACGCCGGCAACGGUGCAACUCAAAGGAAUUGACGGA
rnacentral:rRNA from 1 species